rnacentral:rRNA from 1 species
AACUCGGUCAUUUAGAGGAAGUAAAAGUCGUAACAAGGUUUCCGUAGGUGAACUUGCGGAAGGAUCAUUACCGAGUGAGGGCCCUUUGGGUCCAACCUCCCACCCGUGUUUAUUUUACCUUGUUGCUUCGGCGGGCCCGCCUUUACUGGCCGCCGGGGGGCUCACGCCCCCGGGCCCGCGCCCGCCGAAGACACCCCCGAACUCUGUCUGAAGAUUGAAGUCUGAGUGAAAAUAUAAAUUAUUUAAAACUUUCAACAACGGAUCUCUUGGUUCCGGCAUCGAUGAAGAACGCAGCGAAAUGCGAUACGUAAUGUGAAUUGCAAAUUCAGUGAAUCAUCGAGUCUUUGAACGCACAUUGCGCCCCCUGGUAUUCCGGGGGGCAUGCCUGUCCGAGCGUCAUUGCUGCCCUCAAGCCCGGCUUGUGUGUUGGGCCCCGUCCUCCGAUUCCGGGGGACGGGCCCGAAAGGCAGCGGCGGCACCGCGUCCGGUCCUCGAGCGUAUGGGGCUUUGUCACCCGCUCUGUAGGCCCGGCCGGCGCUUGCCGAUCAACCCAAAUUUUUAUCCAGGUUGACCUCG